rnacentral:rRNA from 1 species
CGGUCUGUCGCGUCGGAUGUGAAAGCCCGGGGCUUAACCCCGGGUCUGCAUUCGAUACGGGCAGACUAGAGUGUGGUAGGGGAGAUCGGAAUUCCUGGUGUAGCGGUGAAAUGCGCAGAUAUCAGGAGGAACACCGGUGGCGAAGGCGGAUCUCUGGGCCAUUACUGACGCUGAGGAGCGAAAGCGUGGGGAGCGAACAGGAUUAGAUACCCUGGUAGUCCACGCCGUAAACGGUGGGAACUAGGUGUUGGCGACAUUCCACGUCGUCGGUGCCGCAGCUAACGCAUUAAGUUCCCCGCCUGGGGAGUACGGCCGCAAGGCUAAAACUCAAAGGAAUUGACGGGGGCCCGCACAAGCAGCGGAGCAUGUGGCUUAAUUCGACGCAACGCGAAGAAUCUUACCAAGGCUUGACAUACACCGGUAAACGGCCAUAGAUGGUCGCCCCCUUGUGGUCG